CCUACGGGGGGCAGCAGUGGGGAAUAUUGGGCAAUGGGCGCAAGCCUGACCCAGCAACGCCGCGUGAAGGAAGAAGGCUUUCGGGUUGUAAACUUCUUUUCUCAGGGACGAAGAAAGUGACGGUACCUGAGGAAUAAGCCACGGCUAACUACGUGCCAGCAGCCGCGGUAAUACGUAGGUGGCAAGCGUUAUCCGGAUUUACUGGGUGUAAAGGGCGUGUAGGCGGGACUGCAAGUCAGAUGUGAAAACCACGGGCUCAACCUGUGGCCUGCAUUUGAAACUGUAGUUCUUGAGUACUGGAGAGGUAAGCGGAAUUCCUGGUGUAGCGGUGAAAUGCGUAGAUAUUAGGAGGAACACCAGUGGCGAAGGCGGCUUACUGGACUGUAACUGACGUUGAGGCUCGAAAGCGUGGGGAACAAACAGGAUUAGAUACCCCUGUAGUC
rnacentral:rRNA from 1 species